GUAGCAAUAUUGCUUAAUCGGAGUGGCGCAAGGGUGCGUAACACGUGGGUAAUUUGCCGUAAAGAUUGGGAUAACUCGCUGAAAGGCGAGCUAAUACCGGAUGUGACUGUUGGGAGGCAUCUCUCGAUAGUUAAAGUUGGGGACCGAAAGGCCUGACGCUUUACGAUGAACCCGCGGCCUAUCAGCUAGUUGGUGAGGUAACGGCCCACCAAGGCUAAGACGGGUAGCUGGUCUGAGAGGACGACCAGCCACACUGGAACUGAGACACGGUCCAGACACCUACGGGUGGCAGCAGUCGAGAAUUUUUCACAAUGGGGGAAACCCUGAUGGAGCGACGCCGCGUGGGGGAUGAAUGGCUUCGGCCCGUAAACCCCUGUCAUUUGCGAACAAACCUUGUCUAAUAACAUUGGAUGAGCUGAUUGUAGCGAAAGAGGAAGGGACGGCUAACUCUGUGCCAGCAGCCGCGGUAAUACAGAGGUCCCAAGCGUUGUUCGGAUUCACUGGGCGUAAAGGGUGCGUAGGUGGUCGGGUAAGUCUGAUGUGAAAGCUCGAAGCUUAACUUCGAAAUGGCAUUGGAUACUAUCCGGCUUGAGGAUCGGAGGGGGGACUGGAAUUCUCGGUGUAGCAGUGAAAUGCGUAGAUAUCGAGAGGAACACCAGUGGCGAAGGCGAGUCCCUGGACGACUCCUGACACUGAGGCACGAAAGCUAGGGGAGCAAACAGGAUUAGAUACCCUGGUAGUCCUAGCUGUAAACGGUGCAUAUUUGCUGUAAAAGGAAUCGACCCCUUUUGUGGCGUAGC
rnacentral:rRNA from 1 species